rnacentral:rRNA from 1 species
AGAGUUUGAUCAUGGCUCAGGACGAACGCUGGCGGCGUGCUUAAGACAUGCAAGUCGUACGAGAAAGCCUCUUCGGAGGUGAGUAAAGUGGCGCACGGGUGAGUAACGCGUGGGUAAUCUGCCCUUUGGUUUGGGAUAACCCCGGGAAACCGGAGCUAAUACCGAAUAAGACCACGAUGACUUCGGUCGAUGUGGGAAAAGGUGGCCUCUUCUUGAAAGCUACCACCGAUGGAUGAGCCCGCGUUUGAUUAGUUUGUUGGUGAGGUAACGGCUCACCAAGACUACGAUCAAUAGCUGGUCUGAGAGGACGAUCAGCCACACUGGAACUGAGACACGGUCCAGACUCCUACGGGAGGCAGCAGUCGGGAAUAUUGGGCAAUGGGCGAAAGCCUGACCCAGCAACGCCGCGUGAAGGAUGAAGGCCCUAGGGUCGUAAACUUCUGUCGAGAGGGAAGAAUGCGUGUGGGUGAAUAAUCUGCGCGUUUGACGGUACCUCCAAAGGAAGCACCGGCUAACUCCGUGCCAGCAGCCGCGGUAAUACGGAGGGUGCAAGCGUUGUUCGGAUUUAUUGGGCGUAAAGCGAGUGUAGGCGGUUUGGAAAGUCGGAUGUGAAAUCCCAGGGCUCAACCCUGGAACUGCAUCCGAUACUGCCAGGCUAGAAUCCCGGAGAGGGUGGCGGAAUUCCCGGUGUAGGGGUGAAAUCCGUAGAUAUCGGGAGGAACACCAGUGGCGAAGGCGGCCACCUGGACGGUGAUUGACGCUGAGACUCGAAAGCGUGGGUAGCAAACAGGAUUAGAUACCCUGGUAGUCCACGCCGUAAACGGUGAGAGCUCGUCGUAGUGGGUAUUGACCCCUGCUGUGACCAAGCUAACGCAUGAAGCUCUCCGCCUGGGAAGUACGGUCGCAAGACUAAAACUCAAAGGAAUUGACGG